rnacentral:rRNA from 1 species
GACGAACGCUGGCGGCAUGCUUAACACAUGCAAGUCGAACGGAAAGGCCCUGCUUUUUUGGGGACCGCGAGUGGCGAACGGGUGAGUAACACGUGAGUAACCUGCCCUUGACUUUGGGAUGACUUCAGGUAACUGGGUCUAAUAACAGAUAGGAGCUCCUGCUGCAUGGUGGGGGGGGGCAAGUUUCGUCGGUUGGGGCUGGACUCGCGGGUUAUCAUCUUGUUGGUGGGGUAGUGGCUUACCACGGCUUUGACGGGUAGACGGCCUGAGAGGGUGGCCGGCCACAUUGGGCCUGAGAUACGCCCCAGUCGCGUACGGGAGGCAGCAGUGGGGAACAUUGUACAGUGGGCGGGAGUGUGUUGCGGCAACGCCGCGUGCGGGAUGAAGGCUUGCGGGUUGUAAACCGCUUUGGCCUGAGACGAAGCGUGAGUGACGGUAAUGGGUAAAGAAGCACCGGCUAACUACGUG